AUACCUUUCUCGGCCUUUUGGCUAAGAUCAAGUGUAGUAUCUGUUCUUAUCAGUUUAAUAUCUGAUACGUGGGCCAUCGGCCCACAUGAUAUUAAAUUAAUUUUUCUAGGGGGAGGGCCUACCACAGUAGCUUGCUAUUGGGGCUCUCGAGCGUCGCCCAGGCGUUGCACUACUGUCCGGGCCUGGCGCACCCCAC
rnacentral:snRNA from 1 species